GUCCUUCCCCACAAAGGGGCUUUGAGCUGUGUUAUCUGUUGGGCAGCAGCUCAGCGAAUGGCCAGGAGGCCUCUGGAUGCCAGCAGAGGAGGAAUAGUGAGACCGGGCCAAGGCGGGGCUCCCUCCUCCUUCCAGGCACAUAAGAAAGGAGCCGGUCCAUCAGAUAAAGUCCCUCUGGAAGAGACAAGGAUCUCUCUCUUGCAGGCAUUCCGGCUGUUCCGGAUUGAGAACUUCAUGCAAAACCAAAGCCUGCAGGGAGCUUUAGAAACCAGCCAGGCUGCCGAAAAGGGUCCCUGGGGCCUGGUUUUCGCAACAGGGCUCGAAGACACCCCCCCAAGCAAGCUGUCAACGUGCGCUGGAAGAUAGAAGGAUUUCCUCUUUGAUUUCCUGCUUCCAGAGGAGAGGCGAUGGGCAAUACAGACGAAGCUGCCCUGUUACGGAGACAGAUCAUUGGUCCACCAAGCUCUAUAUUGUAAACUCUGGCUGGCAGCAGCAGCAGCACUCCAGGUUUUAUGGCGGGGAACAUUCCCAGGCCUGCAUUGACUGAACCUAGGACUUUUUGCUUGCUAGCUUCCCCAGCCCCUGACUGAGAACCACAAGGACAGGAAUCUUCACUUUAUUUUUUAAGGGAAAAGUACCAUGCAUGGUUCCAUGCAGUGAAGGAACAAAGCAGGGUAUAGAUGUAAGAGAAUAAUGAAUAAAAAUGCAGACAGCAGCUUAA